rnacentral:tRNA from 1 species
GCGGGUGUAGCACAGUGGUAGUGCAGUUGGUUGCCAAUCAACGUACACGGGUUCGAUCCCCGUCACCCGCU